rnacentral:rRNA from 1 species
GAUGAACGCUGGCGGCGUGCCUAAUACAUGCAAGUCGAGCGAACAGACGAGGAGCUUGCUCCUCUGACGUUAGCGGCGGACGGGUGAGUAACACGUGGAUAACCUACCUAUAAGACUGGGAUAACUUCGGGAAACCGGAGCUAAUACCGGAUAAUAUAUUGAACCGCAUGGUUCAAUAGUGAAAGACGGUUUUGCUGUCACUUAUAGAUGGAUCCGCGCCGCAUUAGCUAGUUGGUAAGGUAACGGCUUACCAAGGCAACGAUGCGUAGCCGACCUGAGAGGGGGAUCGGCCACACGGGAGCGGAGACACGGUCCAGACUCCUACGGGAGGCAGCAGUAGGGAAUCUUCCGCAAUGGGCGAAAGCCUGACGGAGCAACGCCGAGUGAGUGAUGAAGGUCUUCGGAUCGUAAAACUCUGUUAUUAGGGAAGAACAAAUGUGUAAGUAACUAUGCACGUCUUGACGGUACCUAAUCAGAAAGCCACGGCUAACUACGUG